UGGGGAAUAUUGGACAAUGGGCGAAAGCCUGAUCCAGCCAUGCCGCGUGUGUGAAGAAGGUCUUCGGAUUGUAAAGCACUUUAAGUUGGGAGGAAGGGCAGUAAGCGAAUACCUUGCUGUUUUGACGUUACCGACAGAAUAAGCACCGGCUAACUCUGUGCCAGUAGCCGCGGUAAUACAGAGGGUGCAAGCGUUAAUCGGAAUUACUGGGCGUAAAGCGCGCGUAGGUGGUUCGUUAAGUUGAAUGUGAAAGCCCCGGGCUCAACCUGGGAACUGCAUCCAAAACUGGCGAGCUAGAGUAGGGCAGAGGGUGGUGGAAUUUCCUGUGUAGCGGUGAAAUGCGUAGAUAUAGGAAGGAACACCAGUGGCGAAGGCGACCACCUGGGAUCAUACUGACACUGAGGUGCGAAAGCGUGGGGAGCAAACAGG
rnacentral:rRNA from 1 species